rnacentral:rRNA from 1 species
ACUCAAAUGAAUAGACGGGGGCCCGCACAAGCGGUGGAGCAUGUGGUUUAAUUCGACGCAACGCGAAGAACCUUACCGGGGCUUGACAUCCUGUGAUCAUCUAGGAGACUAGGUUUCCGGGCAACCGGACACAGAGACAGGUGCUGCAUGGCUGUCGUCAGCUCGUGCCGUGAGGUGUUGGGUUAAGUCCCGCAACGAGCGCAACCCUUGUCGUGUGUUGGUCCACAAGAUCUCUCACACGAGACCGCCGGUGACAAGCCGGAGGAAGGUGGGGAUGACGUCAAGUCAGCAUGGCCCUUACGUCCCGGGCUACACACGUGCUACAAUGGGAAGGACAGCGAGUCGCGAACCCGCGAGGGCAAGCUAAUCUCUUAAACCUUUCCUCAGUUCGGAUUGGAGGCUGCAACUCGCCUCCAUGAAGUCGGAAUCGCUAGUAACCGCAGAUCAGCUACGCUGCGGUGAAUACGUUCCCGGGCCUUGCACACACCGCCCGU